rnacentral:rRNA from 1 species
GUCCACGCCGUAAACGUUGGGCACUAGGUGUGGGACUCUAUCGACGGGUUCCGUGCCGUAGCUAACGCAUUAAGUGCCCCGCCUGGGGAGUACGGCCGCAAGGCUAAAACUCAAAGGAAUUGACGGGGCCCGCACAAGCGGCGGAGCGUGUGGCUUAAUUCGAUGCAACGCGAAGAACCUUACCUGGGCUUGACAUUUUUGGUAAAGCAGGUGAAAGCCUGUGUGCUUCGGCGCCAAAAACAGGUGGUGCAUGGCUGUCGU